AUGAAAAUAGCUUUUCGAGUUGUUCACAUAAUGUAUGGGGAUCACAUAAUUGUAGACAUAAUGAAGAUGCUGGUGUACAUUGUUCAGACUCUGACGAAAGAUCCUAGUGAUGUGGAAUCAUAUCAAAGAAAUACACUAAAAUCCUAAUUCUAAUCGAAGAUGCUUUUUGUAAAAUAUGUCGUGGAAUAUUUGAAAGCUUAUGUAGAAAAUGCUGUGUGUUUGACAUUUUUAUCCAUUGUUGAAAUGUAUCUGUAAUACAAAACUACGUGUAAACAAGUUGUAAUCAACAAUAUUAUCAUAUAAAGUAAAUGUAGAUAUUAUCAUAAUCUAUAAAUAAAGUAAAAUGAUGAAGUUUCACUUCUGCUAAGAAUAAAAUAUUAUUAACAAAUCAAAUGAUUUACUGAAUUACAUUAUCUUUGAUAAUUUACAAA